rnacentral:rRNA from 1 species
ACGUACACUCCUACGGGAGGCAGCAGUGGGGAAUUUUGGACAAUGGGCGAAAGCCUGAUCCAGCCAUGCCGCGUGCAGGAUGAAGGCCUUCGGGUUGUAAACUGCUUUUGUACGGAACGAAACGGCCUUUUCUAAUAAAGACCGCUAAUGACGGUACCGUAAGAAUAAGCACCGGCUAACUACGUGCCAGCAGCCGCGGUAAUACGUAGGGUGCAAGCGUUAAUCGGAAUUACUGGGCGUAAAGCGUGCGCAGGCGGUUAUGUAAGACAGUUGUGAAAUCCCCGGGCUCAACCUGGGAACUGCAUCUGUGACUGCAUAGCUAGAGUACGGUAGAGGGGGAUGGAAUUCCGCGUGUAGCAGUGAAAUGCGUAGAUAUGCGGAGGAACACCGAUGGCGAAGGCAAUCCCCUGGACCUGUACUGACGCUCAUGCACGAAAGCGUGGGGAGCAAACAGGAUUAGAUACCCCGGUAGUCCC